rnacentral:rRNA from 1 species
ACACUAUCAUUAACUGAAUCCAUAGGUUAAUGAGGCGAACCGGGGGAACUGAAACAUCUAAGUACCCCGAGGAAAAGAAAUCAACCGAGAUUCCCCCAGUAGCGGCGAGCGAACGGGGAGGAGCCCAGAGCCUGAAUCAGUGUGUGUGUUAGUGGAAGCGUCUGGAAAGGCGCGCGAUACAGGGUGACAGCCCCGUACACAAAAAUGCACAUGCUGUGAGCUCGAUGAGUAGGGCGGGACACGUGGUAUCCUGUCUGAAUAUGGGGGGACCAUCCUCCAAGGCUAAAUACUCCUGACUGACCGAUAGUGAACCAGUACCGUGAGGGAAAGGCGAAAAGAACCCCGGCGAGGGGAGUGAAAAAGAACCUGAAACCGUGUACGUACAAGCAGUGGGAGCCUCUUAAUGGGGUGACUGCGUACCUUUUGUAUAAUGGGUCAGCGACUUAUAUUCUGUAGCAAGGUUAACCGAAUAGGGGAGCCGAAGGGAAACCGAGUCUUAACUGGGCGUUAAGUUGCAGGGUAUAGACCCGAAACCCGGUGAUCUAGCCAUGGGCAGGUUGAAGGUUGGGUAACACUAACUGGAGGACCGAACCGACUAAUGUUGAAAAAUUAGCGGAUGACUUGUGGCUGGGGGUGAAAGGCCAAUCAAACCGGGAGAUAGCUGGUUCUCCCCGAAAGCUAUUUAGGUAGCGCCUCGUGAAUUCAUCUCCGGGGGUAGAGCACUGUUUCGGCAAGGGGGUCAUCCCGACUUACCAACCCGAUGCAAACUGCGAAUACCGGAGAAUGUUAUCACGGGAGACACACGGCGGGUGCUAACGUCCGUCGUGAAGAGGGAAACAACCCAGACCGCCAGCUAAGGUCCCAAAGUCAUGGUUAAGUGGGAAACGAUGUGGGAAGGCCCAGACAGCCAGGAUGUUGGCUUAGAAGCAGCCAUCAUUUAAAGAAAGCGUAAUAGCUCACUGGUCGAGUCGGCCUGCGCGGAAGAUGUAACGGGGCUAAACCAUGCACCGAAGCUGCGGCAGCGACACUAUGUGUUGUUGGGUAGGGGAGCGUUCUGUAAGCCUGUGAAGGUGGCCUGUGAGGGUUGCUGGAGGUAUCAGAAGUGCGAAUGCUGACAUAAGUAACGAUAAAGCGGGUGAAAAGCCCGCUCGCCGGAAGACCAAGGGUUCCUGUCCAACGUUAAUCGGGGCAGGGUGAGUCGACCCCUAAGGCGAGGCCGAAAGGCGUAGUCGAUGGGAAACAGGUUAAUAUUCCUGUACUUGGUGUUACUGCGAAGGGGGGACGGAGAAGGCUAUGUUGGCCGGGCGACGGUUGUCCCGGUUUAAGCGUGUAGGCUGGUUUUCCAGGCAAAUCCGGAAAACCAAGGCUGAGGCGUGAUGACGAGGCACUACGGUGCUGAAGUGACAAAUGCCCUGCUUCCAGGAAAAGCCUCUAAGCAUCAGGUAACAUCAAAUCGUACCCCAAACCGACACAGGUGGUCAGGUAGAGAAUACCAAGGCGCUUGAGAGAACUCGGGUGAAGGAACUAGGCAAAAUGGUGCCGUAACUUCGGGAGAAGGCACGCUGAUAUGUAGGUGAAGCGACUUGCUCGUGGAGCUGAAAUCAGUCGAAGAUACCAGCUGGCUGCAACUGUUUAUUAAAAACACAGCACUGUGCAAACACGAAAGUGGACGUAUACGGUGUGACGCCUGCCCGGUGCCGGAAGGUUAAUUGAUGGGGUUAGCGGUAACGCGAAGCUCUUGAUCGAAGCCCCGGUAAACGGCGGCCGUAACUAUAACGGUCCUAAGGUAGCGAAAUUCCUUGUCGGGUAAGUUCCGACCUGCACGAAUGGCGUAAUGAUGGCCAGGCUGUCUCCACCCGAGACUCAGUGAAAUUGAACUCGCUGUGAAGAUGCAGUGUACCCGCGGCAAGACGGAAAGACCCCGUGAACCUUUACUAUAGCUUGACACUGAACAUUGAGCCUUGAUGUGUAGGAUAGGUGGGAGGCUUUGAAGUGUGGACGCCAGUCUGCAUGGAGCCGACCUUGAAAUACCACCCUUUAAUGUUUGAUGUUCUAACGUUGGCCCCUAAUCGGGGUUGCGGACAGUGUCUGGUGGGUAGUUUGACUGGGGCGGUCUCCUCCUAAAGAGUAACGGAGGAGCACGAAGGUUGGCUAAUCCUGGUCGGACAUCAGGAGGUUAGUGCAAUGGCAUAAGCCAGCUUGACUGCGAGCGUGACGGCGCGAGCAGGUGCGAAAGCAGGUCAUAGUGAUCCGGUGGUUCUGAAUGGAAGGGCCAUCGCUCAACGGAUAAAAGGUACUCCGGGGAUAACAGGCUGAUACCGCCCAAGAGUUCAUAUCGACGGCGGUGUUUGGCACCUCGAUGUCGGCUCAUCACAUCCUGGGGCUGAAGUAGGUCCCAAGGGUAUGGCUGUUCGCCAUUUAAAGUGGUACGCGAGCUGGGUUUAGAACGUCGUGAGACAGUUCGGUCCCUAUCUGCCGUGGGCGCUGGAGAACUGAGGGGGGCUGCUCCUAGUACGAGAGGACCGGAGUGGACGCAUCACUGGUGUUCGGGUUGUCAUGCCAAUGGCACUGCCCGGUAGCUAAAUGCGGAAGAGAUAAGUGCUGAAAGCAUCUAAGCACGAAACUUGCCCCGAGAUGAGUUCUCCCUGAGACUUAGAGUCUCCUGAAGGAACGUUGAAGACGACGACGUUGAUAGGCCGGGUGUGUAAGCGCAGCGAUGCGUUGAGCUAACCGGUACUAAUGAACCGUGAGGCUUAACC